AGCGAACGCUGGCGGCAGACCUAACACAUGCAAGUCGAACGAACCUUUCGGGGUUAGUGGCGGACGGGUGAGUAACACGUGGGAACGUGCCUUUAGGUUCGGAAUAACUCAGGGAAACUUGUGCUAAUACCGAAUGUGCCCUUCGGGGGAAAGAUUUAUCGCCUUUAGAGCGGCCCGCGUCUGAUUAGCUAGUUGGUUGAGGUAAUGGCUCACCAAGGCGACGAUCAGUAGCUGGUCUGAGAGGAUGAUCAGCCACAUUGGGACUGAGACACGGCCCAAACUCCUACGGGAGGCAGCAGUGGGGAAUCUUGCGCAAUGGGCGAAAGCCUGACGCAGCCAUGCCGCGUGAAUGAUGAAGGUCUUAGGAUUGUAAAAUUCUUUCACCGGGGACGAUAAUGACGGUACCCGGAGAAGAAGCCCCGGCUAACUACGUG
rnacentral:rRNA from 1 species